UAUUAGUCUGGGCUGCCAGCUGAACGGGACAAUGAUGGCUUCUAGGGGCAAAGAACAGACCGCUGGCCAUCACUGGGCGGUCCUUACAUGUUCUCCUCCAAAAGCCUAAAACAGUGGUCAUUGCGAGCUCGAUGGUCAACCAGCAGGUCCCAGACUUGCAGAAGGAAAACCCUGGCUGCCAGGUAUUAAAGAGUUGUUCCUGUGAGAUAAAAGAAUAUCAAUGGACUCUUAACCAGGACUUAAACAUGUCAUAACCUGGCUGAAGAGGAGCAUUACAGAUCAUCGUCCUGCCAUGUGACAAGGGUGAAGGAACCUAGAGAAAGGAGGCCAGGUGAGUUUAUAGAUGGCAGAGCCAGGAUCAGGCCCAACUUCCAAUAUCUCUAAGGAUGUUUUAUUCUUUUGUGGAUGAUUAUGCUUGGUUUUAUUAUUCUAGACGCAUUUUUACCAGCUUUGACUUUAGGAGAUACAGCUUCCCCUUGACCCUCAUUUCUUACAGAAUACUUAGGCUGGAGAAGGGAAGAGAGGAAUGGUGACGUAUAAAGUGCCUCCAGGGGUUUGAGAAGUUAGGACAGCAGAGGGAGGUGAUAAGCUGCUCACCAGCUCUACUGUGAAUCACAUCACAGCAGAAGGGAGGCAGUCAGCUCAGAGGAAAAGCCUGUCAGGGAGAAA